UAGGGAAUCUUCUNGCAAUGGACGGAAGUCUGACCGAGCAACGCCGCGUGAGUGAAGAAGGUUUUCGGAUCGUAAAGCUCUGUUGUAAGAGAAGAACGAGUGUGAGAGUGGAAAGUUCACACUGUGACGGUAUCUUACCAGAAAGGGACGGCUAACUACGUGCCAGCAGCCGCGGUAAUACGUAGGUCCCGAGCGUUGUCCGGAUUUAUUGGGCGUAAAGCGAGCGCAGGCGGUUAGAUAAGUCUGAAGUUAAAGGCUGUGGCUUAACCAUAGUACGCUUUGGAAACUGUUUAACUUGAGUGCAAGAGGGGAGAGUGGAAUUCCAUGUGUAGCGGUGAAAUGCGUAGAUAUAUGGAGGAACACCGGUGGCGAAAGCGGCUCUCUGGCUUGUAACUGACGCUGAGGCUCGAAAGCGUGGGGAGCAAACAGGAUUAGAUACCCUGAUAGUCCACGCCGUAAACGAUGAGUGCUACGUGUUAGACCCUUUCCGGGGUUUAGUGCCGCAGCUAACGCAUUAAGCACUCCGCCUGGGGAGUACGACCGCAAGGUUG
rnacentral:rRNA from 1 species